rnacentral:misc_RNA from 1 species
AAGUCGUAACAAGGUUUCCGUAGGUGAACCUGCGGAAGGAUCAUUAUAGUAUACCUAUAGUUGGGAUGUAGGGUGUUUUAUUAGAGCGUAGACGUAAAACUCUAUUGCUUGAGUAGGCAUCCUCCCCGCCAAACCUUGUAAAUAUAAACUUAAUUGUUACCUUGGUAGGAUUACCUGCCUGUGGACAACUAUAAACUCUUUUAAAAAUUAGCUGAAACUAUUGUAACUGUCUGAAAUAUUGUUAAUAUUAAAACUUUCAACAACGGAUCUCUUGGUUCUG